rnacentral:rRNA from 1 species
GGGAAACUGCCUGAUGGAGGGGGAUAACUACUGGAAACGGUAGCUAAUACCGCAUAACGUCGCAAGACCAAAGAGGGGGACCUUCGGGCCUCUUGCCAUCAGAUGUGCCCAGAUGGGAUUAGCUAGUAGGUGGGGUAACGGCUCACCUAGGCGACGAUCCCUAGCUGGUCUGAGAGGAUGACCAGCCACACUGGAACUGAGACACGGUCCAGACUCCUACGGGAGGCAGCAGUGGGGAAUAUUGCACAAUGGACGCAAGCCUGAUGCAGCCAUGCCGCGUGUAUGAAGAAGGCCUUCGGGUUGUAAAGUACUUUCAGCGGGGAGGAAGGCGAUAAGGUUAAUAACCUUGUCGAUUGACGUUACCCGCAGAAGAAGCACCGGCUAACUCCGUGCCAGCAGCCGCGGUAAUACGGAGGGUGCAAGCGUUAAUCGGAAUUACUGGGCGUAAAGCGCACGCAGGCGGUCUGUCAAGUCGGAUGUGAAAUCCCCGGGCUCAACCUGGGAACUGCAUUCGAAACUGGCAGGCUGGAGUCUUGUAGAGGGGGGUAGAAUUCCAGGU